GCUGGACGCCUCCCUGUCACCGCUCCCAGUCAGGUCAGCGUCACAGAGCACCUGCGACUCGCUGCUGGGCCCUGACCCAGGUACAAGGUGCAAGAACAUAAAAAGCCCAGUCCUUACUCGCAGAGAAAAAGAGCCUGAACAUUGCAGAAGAAAGAAAAACCACCCAAUGCGGCAAUACCGAGAUAAUUCCUCCCUUUUUACUGAAUGCCAGUGUGCAUCUUGCACUACAUUACGCUCUUUAUGUGGGUUUUCCCUUUAAUCCUCCCGACAACUUCACGCCCCCAGUGACAGAGGAGGAAGCGGAGCUGGGGUGGUAUGCUCAGGUCCAUGCAGCAAUGCAGGGGCCUGCGGAGAGACAGAGCCGGCGCUGGGCAGCAGCACACACGGCGGGAGGCAGGAGCGACAAGGGAGAGAUCUCGCUCCCCAGUUUCCCAGUAGCGAGCAGCAGGGAGCGACUCACCGAGGGCACAGAUAUAAUGCCGUGAUAUUUGUUUCUCUUUGUCACCACGUGUUCGGGCCAGAAGGUCAACUGACUGCCAUCUACAAG